UACGUAGGGCGCGAGCGUUGUCCGGAAUUAUUGGGCGUAAAGAGCUCGUAGGCGGUCUGUCGCGUCUGCUGUGAAAACUCAGGGCUUAACCCUGAGCUUGCAGUGGGUACGGGCAGACUAGAGUGCGGUAGGGGAGACUGGAAUUCCUGGUGUAGCGGUGAAAUGCGCAGAUAUCGAGAGGAACACCUGCGGCGAAGGCGGGUUGCUGGGCUGACACUGACGCUGAGGCGCGAAAGCUAGGGGAGCGAACGGG
rnacentral:rRNA from 1 species